UAACGGUUGAUGAGCAGAUCCAAAUCCAA
rnacentral:piRNA from 1 species